rnacentral:rRNA from 1 species
AUUGAACGCUGGCGGCAUGCUUUACACAUGCAAGUCGAACGGUAACAGGCCGCAAGGUGCUGACGAGUGGCGAACGGGUGAGUAAUGCAUCGGAACGUGACCAGUCGUGGGGGAUAACGCAGCGAAAGCUGUGCUAAUACCGCAUACGAUCUGUGGAUGAAAGCGGGGGCCCGCAAGGCAUCGCGCGAUUGGAGCGGCCGAUGUCAGAUUAGUUAGUUGGUGGGGUAAAGGCGCACCAAGCCGACGAGCUGUAGCUGGUCUGAGAGGACGACCAGCCACACUGGGACUGAGACACGGCCCAGAGUCCUACGGGAGGCAGCAGUGGGGAAUUUUGGACAAUGGGCGCAAGCCUGAUCCAGCAAUGCCGCGUGCAGGAAGAAGGCCUUCGGGUUGUAAACUGCUUUUGUACGGAGCGAAAAGGCUCCCUCUAAUACAGGGGGCUCAUGACGGUACCGUAAGAAUAAGCACCGGCUAACUACGUGCCAGCAGCCGCCGUAAAAC